rnacentral:rRNA from 1 species
UUGAAUGGGGGCACCUGAUCCUUCAUGCCGCGUGUGUGAAGAAGGCCUUCGGGUUGUAAAGCACUUUUGUCAGGAACGAAACGGUGGGGGCUAAUACCUCCUGCUAAUGACGGUACCUGAAGAAUAAGCACCGGCUAACUACGUGCCAGCAGCCGCGGUAAUACGUAGGGUGCGAGCGUUAAUCGGAAUUACUGGGCGUAAAGCGUGCGCAGGCGGUUGUGCAAGACAGAUGUGAAAUCCCCGGGCUUAACCUGGGAAUGGCAUUUGUGACUGCACGGCUAGAGUGUGUCAGAGGGGGGUAGAAUUCCACGUGUAGCAGUGAAAUGCGUAGAUAUGUGGAGGAAUACCGAUGGCGAAGGCAGCCCCCUGGGAUAACACUGACGCUCAGGCACGAAAGCGUGGGGAGCAAACAGGAUUAGAUACCCUGGUAGUCCACGCCCUAAACGAUGUCAACUAGUUGUCGGGUCUUAAUUGACUUGGUAACGCAGCUAACGCGUGAAGUUGACCGCCUGGGGAGUACGGUCGCAAGAUUAAAACUCCAAGGAAUUGACGGGGACCCGCACAAGCGGUGGCUGA